rnacentral:rRNA from 1 species
GACGAACGCUGGCGGCGUGCUUAACACAUGCAAGUCGAACGGUGAAGCGCCUUCCUUUUUGGUGGGUGUGGAUGAGUGGCGAACGGGUGAGUAACACGUGAGUAACCUGCCCCCUUCUUCUGGAUAACCGCAUGAAAGUGUGGCUAAUACGGGAUAUUCUGGGUCUGUCGCAUGAUGGGUCUGGGACAGAUAUUGUUUCGGUGGUGGAUGGGCUCGCGGCCUAUCAGCUUGUUGGUGGGGUGAUGGCCUACCAAGGCGGUGACGGGUAGCCGGCCUGAGAGGGUGGACGAUCACACUGGGAAUGAGACGCCGAGCAGACUCCUACGGGAGGCAGCAGUGGAUCAUAUUGCACGGUGGGCGGAAGGCUGAUGCAGCGACGCCGCGUGAGGGAUGGAGUCCUUCGGGUUGUGAACCUCUUUCGCCAGUGAAGCAGGCCUGCCUCGUUUGUGGGUGGGUUGACGGUAGCUGGAUAAGAAGCGCCGGCUAACUACGUG